UUGGUGAUUUAAAUAUGCACGCGGUCCACAUCUUUAAUAGGACCUUUUUAUCUUAUUUUCCACGUUUGUUUAUUUCAACUACACAGAUAAACUGUGGCUGUAAUUAGCGUGUUUUAAGAUUGUGGUUUGUCUGUCACGGCCACGCGUGAACACAUGUCGCAGACAGAGCAACAGCAUCAUACAUACAACGUCAAAUUUCUUGACGCGAGCAUUGCGUGAUGGGACAUCAGAACGACAGCUGAUGGCGACUCGCUUCGACUUUGAGAUCCGUUUUGCCGACGCAACUUCUGUUGCCUUUAUACUUUAGCAUGUUGUCAGAUAUCAUCAGCAGGACAAUUAAACCAUCUUGCAGUAGCCUCAAGAUCCAUGUGUCCGCUUCAUCUCCCGUGGUCUCUAUCCGCACAAGCCUCUGUGAAUGGGUGGAAGGCCCCAGCAGGCAGUGUUUUGGCCGCCUCCAUGUUUCCUGUGCCUCCUGGGGCUGGGUGAGUCUGCCUGUUCUCUGGGUGGAUGGAAAGAUGAAGCCGUCCCUCACUGCACAGCACUGGGGUCCAGAUUGCUAUACUGGGACAGUCUGGAGGUGGGCUAUGGCACUCCAAUUCAUCUCCCGCUGUAGCUCACCGAAGAGAGCGCCUAGUGCCCACUUCUCAUCUGUGGGAGCGCUCAGGAAGAUGGAUUGGUUGGCCGGACGAUCAGAGGAGGCAAAGCGUGUGGCUAAGAGCCUAUGUAGCACGUGGCUGCUCUCAUAUGCAAGUUUGAUGAAAGACAUUUACAAACGGAGUCUGGGGAGCUUCUGUAUCAGAUGUCUCAGAGUGGCCUACACUUUAGAGAUGGCAAAAGUAUGAAACGGACACACGCAGGUAAUGGCAAUUCAUCACCUGGUUUAUACUUUUAUGACUUAAUAUCUGAAAUACUUUGCAAUAUUACAAUUAUUAAAAAGCCACCACUGAAUGCCAAUGCAGAGAUGUAUAUGAUGCUUUAAAGCCUGCGUUUCACCUUGCGUAAACCAGUACUCAUAAUUACAUGGGCAUGUCCAGAAAGGCAGACUAAAUUACACAGAUAUAAGAUGAGGUGCUAUCAGUAAUAUUCUUAUGAUGUUCCUAUUAAUCAGCUUGGCUGGUUUUUAUCACAGCCCGCCCUGCCCACCACUGGCCAGGCAAUAAUCAGAAAUACAUAAAGAAUUUCUAGUAGAGCCGAGACCCCGGCUUUGUCUUAUUAUGGAAUAAACCUUGUGGAAAAUAUCGGUUCAUCCCCAGAAGCGCCUACAAAUUGGUCCUGCGCGACACGCUCGGAAUUUCUGCCGCAUUCCAUGACCUAAAACAAAAAUGACAUGAACAUUGACAAAUUUGACAAAGAAAUUUGCACAAAAAACAACCUCUAUUUGGUCAGCCAAGCAGCAAAUAUGUCGGAUGAUAUGCUUUAUUAAGCAAUCCAUUUUUCAGCAAUAGCUGUGCCAUCUGCAAAGGUUAGCGUGCAUCAGGCUACAGAAAUUUCAUCUGCCUCUGUGGGCCUCGGCGAACACUCCGGCACAUUUUUCAUGUACAUACAAUUUUGGAUGCAAAUAGAAUACUUGAUGAAAGGGAUGACCUUCUGAAGUGACUCCUUGGCAGUAAGGUAGGACAGAACAGGCAGAAGGAACCGAAUGAGUUACUGCCCUGGCUGAUCCAGCAGCACUGUAAUAUAUGACUACUGUUCACACACAGACUGAAAGCUCACCCCACCGCCACACACCCUGCUACAUCUCGUUUUGCUGUCCUGCCUUUAAAAACUUGGCCGAACUUGGAGGUGGUAUUCUUAAAAAUGGCCUUAAAAAUUAUUAUAUGUUCUUGACUGUUUAUAGACAAAAAUUCUGUCACCCUUACGCAUUGUACAUUUUAGCCAAAGGGUAUAUUAAAAAAGUAACUACC